rfam:Triticum aestivum genome assembly, contig: Triticum_aestivum_CS42_TGACv1_scaffold_193663_3AL
GGUUUCGUAGUGUAGUGGUUAGCACUCCAGACUUUGAAUCUGGCGACCUGGGUUCAAAUCCCAGCGAGACCU